rnacentral:rRNA from 1 species
UGGCGAACGGGUGCGUAACACGUGAGAAACCUGCCCCGAUCUCUGGGAUAACAGUUGGAAACGACUGCUAAUACCGGAUGCCGUCACACCGCUUCAUGGCGGAGUGACGAAAGAUUUAUCGGAUUGGGAGGGUCUCGCGGCCUAUCAGCUAGUUGGAGAGGUAACGGCUCACCAAGGCAUCGACGGGUAGCUGGUCUGAGAGGAUGAUCAGCCACACUGGGACUGAGACACGGCCCAGACUCCUACGGGAGGCAGCAGUGGGGAAUCUUGCACAAUGGGCGAAAGCCUGAUGCAGCAACGCCGCGUGCGGGAUGAAGGCCCUAGGGUUGUAAACCGCUUUCAGUAGGGAAGAAAAUGACGGUACCUACAGAAGAAGGUGCGGCCAACUACGUGCCAGCAGCCGCGGUGACACGUAGGCACCAAGCGUUAUCCGGAUUUAUUGGGCGUAAAGAGCUCGUAGGCGGUUUGGUAAGUCGGGUGUGAAAACUCUGGGCUCAACCCAGAGAGGCCACCCGAUACUGCUAUGACUAGAGUACGGUAGGGGAGCGGGGAAUUCAUGGUGUAGC